rnacentral:lncRNA from 1 species
GAGCUCUAGGGCAAGAUGAACAACUGUGAGUUCCAGCCUGGCUACAUGGCCAGACUCAGUAUCCGAAACAAAACAAACAAGAGAAGGGGAACAAGGAAGAAAAAAUCUCCCCUUAAUUUAGAAGUCUGGAUUCAGGGUGACUCCCGUUUAUCCCUCCAGCCUGUGCCGCUCUAUCACUACCUUUCCGCCUGACUCACAGGAGCAAGUGUGCUGCUCACUUUAAGGGUCACGAGAACAAUGACUAAGUUUACUGUAGGCUCCGCCCUUCACCGGUAAACACAGCCUCUACCAGGCUCCUCAGCUGUGGAACGCCCCCUACUGCCUGCAGGAUGCUAAUUCCUUGAUGAUUCUCCCACCAGCACGUCCAGUACCCAAGGGGUACAGCAGAACCACAUUUCUUCUUACAAGGCAUGUCUGGGUCACUGCUCUCUUGGUCAGCAAAACAGAAUUCCCACUGUCUGCAGCAUUGAAACGUCACACAUUGAGAGAUGAUUUUUUUUCCAACUAAUUCAGUUCCUUGCACGAAGCAUUCUUUUUGUUGGAGGAUGUAGCAUCCAAAAUUGUCAAGGGUGACAGCUGUCUUCCUGAAUCUUCCAGACUCCAGGCUUAUCACCCAGACCCAAACACAGCUGCUCUAGUACUAAAAUACUAUUAUUAUUAUUAUUAUUAUUAUUAUUAUUACUGUAGAAUUUUUAAAAGUACGUACAAGAGAGGCCCAUUAUUCCACACAGGGGCUUUGAAAGUCACUUUGGUCCGAGUAGCUGCCUUUUGAAUUGAACCUUAAGAGAAGACUGAAAGAACGUUCUAGACAAGAGGAAAAAGCAGCAGUAAGAAUGUAGCAUUUCUUUUUAUCAGGCUUUUGCAAUUCUUGACUACUGUCGCCUUUGCUGUUGACUGUGUGAUUAACCAAUCACAAAAGGGAGAAAGGCUGCUUAGUGAAAAGCCUUAUGGGCAAUGCCUUGGUCGGCCUGUUCACCUUCCUUUCUUUCCACGUGGCAUUUUGAUACGCGUCCCAUCUCCCCCACCCUCUACCCCGCCCCCCAUGAUCCUUCUACUUGUUUCUUCCCCUCCAUACACAUAGGCUCUCUCACACACCUCCAGAGUUUAUUCUUGGACACUUCCCAGUUUCUCAUAAGAUGUCCACAAGUUAAAUCCAUCAGACUGAACCAAUAAAGCAAUGUAAUGUGCUGCCUGUCUUUACAGGUAAACUUGAAAACGGAAUAAAAACCAACUGCUAACUCAUUAACCUUGAGAGGCAUUUUGAGUCUAAUGUUUCCAGUGUUUGUUUAGAGUUGAACACACUUUAAAUAUAUCUCCGUAGUUUAAUAGCCUCUUGAACACAAUUUUUGAUGGCCUCAAUUGAUUUCCUUUCAUUAAAGACCAAAUCUUAAUGAAUGCAUUUGCCUUCCUCUCCAAUUUACAUUCAAACAGGAAAUGUCCUAAUGGCUUUGU